rnacentral:snRNA from 1 species
AUACCAUUCUCGGCCUUUUGGCUAAGAUCAAGUGUAGUAUCUGUUCUUAUCAGUUUAAUAUCUGGUAUGUGGGCCAAUGGUUCUCCUAAUAUAUUUUUUGAGGUGGAGAGUCCACCACAAUAGCUUGCUAUUGGCCUCUCAAGUGUCGCUUUUGUGUUGCACUAUUGCAAUUGCCUGGCACACCCCAU